rnacentral:rRNA from 1 species
AGCAUAUCAAUAAGCGGAGGAAAAGAAACCAACAGGGAUUGCCCUAGUAACGGCGAGUGAAGCGGCAACAGCUCAAAUUUGAAAUCUGGCCCUCGGGUCCGAAUUGUAAUUUGUAGAGGAUGCUUUUGGUGAGGUACCUUCCGAGUUCCCUGGAACGGGACGCCAUAGAGGGUGAGAGCCCCGUCUGGUCGGAUACCGAUCCUCUGUAAAGCUCCUUCGACGAGUCGAGUAGUUUGGGAAUGCUGCUCUAAAUGGGAGGUAUAUGUCUUCUAAAGCUAAAUAUUGGCCAGAGACCGAUAGCGCACAAGUAGAGUGAUCGAAAGAUGAAAAGCACUUUGAAAAGAGAGUUAAAAAGUACGUGAAAUUGUUGAAAGGGAAGCGCUCAUGACCAGACUUGGGCUUGGUUGAUCAUCCAGGGUUCUCCCUGGUGCACUCUUCCAGCCCAGGCCAGCAUCAGUUCGCUGUGGGGGAUAAAGGCUUUGGGAAUGUGGCUCCUCCGGGAGUGUUAUAGCCCAUUGUGUAAUACCCUGUGGUGGACUGAGGUUCGCGCAUCUGCAAGGAUGCUGGCGUAAUGGUCAUCAGCGACCCGUCUUGAAACACGGACCAAGGAGUCGUCUUCGUAUGCGAGUGUUCGGGUGUUAAACCCCUACGCGUAAUGAAAGUGAACGCAGGUGAGAGCUUCGGCGCAUCAUCGACCGAUCCUGAUGUUCUCGGAUGGAUUUGAGUAAGAGCAUACGGGGCCGGACCCGAAAGAAGGUGAACUAUGCCUGUAUAGGGUGAAGCCAGAGGAAACUCUGGUGGAGGCUCGCAGCGGUUCUGACGUGCAAAUCGAUCGUCAAAUAUGGGCAUGGGGGGCGAAAGACUAAUCGAACCUUCUAGUAGCUGGUUUCCGCCGAAU